AGCAGCGAGCUGCAAUGGUAAGCGAGAAGUGCUAGGAGAGCCUAACGGGCAGGAACAGCUGAUGCAAUGGAGCAUCGCAAAGAAUAAGGAAGACGAGAACAGCUGGCACCACCUGGUAUGAAUCUGAGCCUGCACCGCAAACAGAGUCUGGAGCAAGCUGUUUGGUACGCAGCCAUCUCCUUGGCUUUCUUGGCAUGGGAGCCAGGAAGAAAAUGACUUUGCUGCUGGCGGCUCCGAGGAGCUCCCUGGGUUUGGCUGCUUUGCCAGGAGGAGGGGUUGCUUCCAGCUGGUCCAGAGCGCUUUUUCUUGUACAUAUAACAACCUUCAGUCAAAUAUGGGCUAACCCAAAGCCCCCUGAAAUAACGAGAAAGGCAUUUAUCUAGGCCUUUCUCUUACUGGGGAAACAGCAGCAUUGUGGACUGGAGACCUUUCUGCAGGACGCUGCGAAAACCAUGUUCAGUACCUGCACUUUGUCAUGGAAAAAAAUG